UACGAAGGGUGCAAGCGUUAAUCGGAAUUAUUGGGCGUAAAGGGCUCGUAGGCGGUUUGUCGCGUCGGGAGUGAAAACUCAGGGCUUAACCCUGAGCCUGCUUCCGAUACGGGCAGACUAGAGGUAUGCAGGGGAGAACGGAAUUCCUGGUGUAGCGGUGAAAUGCGCAGAUAUCGGGAGGAACACCAGUGGCGAAGGCGACUUCCUGGCCUGUUCUUGACGCUGAGGCGCGAAAGCUAGGGGAGCAAACGGG
rnacentral:rRNA from 1 species